UCCCAGGUUGUCGUAGAAUAUAAAUAAGCAAUCCAUUUGUUUUAUAAUCAAUAUUUUGAGUUAUAAACCAUAUAUCAAAUAUGAUGUAUAUCAAAGUUUGGAUGAUGCUAAUGGAAGCUUGAGGAUGAUGUCGUUCGCUGUGGCAUUGUGCAGUGAAUUCGGCAGUGCUUUCGAAGGUUUAUACUAUCCAAGAUGGCUUACUUGAUGGUGCUCUAUUGUGACUUUUACUAGAUCAAUAAAUCAACUAAAUCUAUAAACUUGUGAAUUUUGUUCGAUUCUGGAAUUUGUACUGCACCGUAAAGCUUCGACAAGUAGAAGAAAUUCAAUUCCUGGACGCAGUGGUAGAGGACGCAGGCUGAUUGCGUUCAAUUGAGAGCUGACCCCCUGUCCAACGUGGAAUUGCAAUUUGAAUACAAGGGAAUCUGCCAUUGCCUAUGCUGAAACUCAAGUUCCUCCCAAGGUUGGAAAUAUGAAGUAGAUGAGCAAAGACGACAUCUAUCAAACCAAAGAGCUAUGGUGCCAAUUUUUCAUGGAACAAGCGCACCCGAAGCUCUACAAAAUAGAAUGCUUAGAAGACUAUGUGAAAAUAAUUGACUCAUUUGUUUGAUGUUUGUUUGGUAAUAAAAUUUCAUUGUAUAUCGAUCCGUAAGCUGUGUGUUCAUGAUAAAUUGUCUUGAAAGUGAUUGGAGACCUAUCCAUGCUCUGUUUUCUGUUUUAUUGGAUCAUACACCUGGUAACAUAAUUGAGAAAAUGUUCUCCUGCGUAAAUUUCAUGUUGAAGAACUUCAAUCGGGUAUGGAGAAUGAAGUUUGAAACCAUUUGAGACCUAAUCAUAAAAAGAGGCUUGAUAAGACUGUCUGUUCACUUGAAUAUACUUUAUCUACCAUUUCUCGCGUUUCUGUGCUGUUUUCACAAAACAAGAUGAAUUGCUGCAGGUUUUCAACUGCUGUGUCUAGUUAAAUAUGACCUGCGCAUGUCAGUAGUUCAUCCUCAAUUUACUGUAAUCUCAUCUCUCUCUACAGAAAAUUCUCGUAAUAUAUCUCCAAAUAUAUUGGCAUCAGAUUUACCUGCAUUCACUCUUCCUCGCCAAGGCUCACUGGCUUUCCCGUAAUUCUAAAAUCGCUCUUAGCAAGGAAACUUCUAAAAUCUUCCCUUAAAAGAAGGAGUCUGUUCUUGCGAAACGCCCUACUUACUGACUUUGGUCAAACGCAAUAACUUCUGCAUUUAUCAGUGCACAAACAGUAUAUUUGCCACCUUCUUCUUACUGACAGUAUCUUGUUGAAAAAUGUUGCUAUCAAAUGGUAGAUGUAGAUUCAUGGAUGUGUGACUCUUAACUGCUAUAGUCAAUGUUUUACCAUUCUACAUCUUAUCAUCAGUAGCACAACGAGGGGAGGAAAGAGGGUGAGGAUGCCCUGCCCCAAUUGCAAAAAGUCCCUUUGAAAAAGAGCGUUCCUGGCGUUCUAAAUGAUGAGUUACACCCACUUAACAGGCUUUUA